UUUAAUAUUGUACUGAAAUAAUGAUAAUUGUGGAGUGUUCUAAAGAAAAGGCUAGCAGUCCUCUAUUUGCAUGUCUGCUGGUUUGAUGCAAGACAAGAGACCUAUGCAUAAUUAUGUAUCUUGCUUGCACUAUCUACAUUUCCUGUUUUGGUGCUAAACCCAUAGGUUUCGUGCUAAACCCGUAGGCUUCGUGGUUUUACUCCUAGAGCGGUAGAUUCAUUGAUGAUAUGUUGAUGCGGUCCACUUGGUGUUCUUGCUUGGCAGGAGAGAAAAAAGCAUCUUUGAGACGCUUGAUCGUUCAUGCCGUGGUUGGAUGAGAAUGGAGAACUAUAAUGCAAAUGGAGGACUGUCCAUACAAAUUUUGUUUUAUUGGUCAGACUAUUUGUUCAUUUGGCUAUCUUAAUGCAUGAAGAUUUGGGAGGCAGGGAGGGAAUGCUCAAGUGGAAACAAAGUAAGGACCAAGCAGCUCAAGAUUUUACUACUACCUUGCUAAUAGCUUUGUGAGAAUCAGACAAUGCAUGGUGUGGGUCGAGAUGAUGUCCAGUCGCCUCCCUCAUCACCUAGACAACGCUACGGAGGGCUCAAAGGUUGAACCUGAAUGUGCUUGUUCCUAUCUCUGGUUCAUCGGCCUCCCGAGACACUCUUGAGGUAUGAAAGUAAAACCCCUUUCUCCACCAUAUGUUGAUUGCAUUAAUGAUUCUGUUCUAUUCACUUCCUGCCAGUGCAGUUUGGUUACUUAUUUGUUCAUUUCAUUCAACAUACAUGUUUCUGUAGUACUCUUGGUGCAGACACAGAUUCAAACUCAUGGAUGCUGACUAUGGUGAACUGCCAAUCACUACUGAUAGGGCCGUACCUAAGAAUCUAAGGGCCUGGUGCAAAAUUUGGAAUUAGGCCUUUAUAUGGAAAUGCUAAUUAUGAAGUCAAUAUGAUAGUAAUUAUUAACCGGAAAUUACUAAUAGGGUUCAAACUCCAUGGAACCCGAAAUUUGAACAUUUUUUCUUCAAAUUUUAUGUUUCAAAGAAUACACACAUACCUAUGGAUGUAUACUACUUUUUGUAAAGUUUAAUGCCAAAAUACGUUUUAUGCAAGGUACACAAAAAUAACAAAAUUAUGUAUUUCUUGCACAUAGUAUCCACUAUAAAGUACAUACAAGAUUUGUUUUUUGUACAACUCAUACCAAAAUGUAUUUCACAAUGAAAUUUUACACAAAUCUACAAGUACUUGUGUAUUUAUAUUUACUUUUUAACUUAAAAAAUGUCAAUUUUUGAAAAUAAAUAAAUAAAUGUGGAGCCUGAGAGCUACAAAGCCUCACUCAUUUAUUAGCAUACAAUAAACAUAAUCUUUUGAAUAAUAACACAAGAGCGAUGGAUGAUGGGAAGAAAAACUAAAUAGAUGACAGCAGAGCGCAUGGAUCCAUUUCUUACCUCAAAUAUCUCUAAAGAAUUUGCAAAGUGAUUCGCUGAAAGGAGAACAGAGGAAACCUCCCUUUGGAUUCUGAUGCAUGCGAAAUUUCCUAAUCCAACUUGACGUUGAUUAAUAUCACUAACUGCUACUAUUAGAGAGGGAGAGAGGAUGGGUACUUGUUGGCGUUGGAAGCUAGAAGGUUCCACUGGACGUUAUACAUUCCUUUAUUAUCCUCUUGAUUAACGUUGUUAAUUGCUAUUUUAAGAUAAAUUCAGGGGCCCCAAAAUUUUAUGGGGCCCUGUGCCGUUGCACACCCUGCACCUGCUUGUGAUACGGGCCUGACUACUGAAGACAGAACUACUGCUGUCACAGCCCGCUUGAAGGGUGUUGACAAAAGGGCCACCAUGACUAGAGGCUGGAGCGACUUCUUCCAUCAGGCACACAUGAACAAAGGGCAAGCAUAUGCUUUUGCCUUCAAAUGCACUUCCAAGGGACUACUCCUGAUUGUCUACUCAAUAUAAGCAAGUCGCAAGAGCCCCUUGUUAUAUAACUUUUUUUUUUUGCGGAAAUCCUUGUUAUAUAACUUAGCAUUAGUGUAGAUGCCUACCAAGACUUCUAUGUUUAUCAUCCUUUUGGAUCUUAUGUAAU